AAGAGAAAAAGACAUCUGCCAAACAAAAAGAAAAUCCCUCAUCACUUGUAGUCAUACACACAUCCACUUUUCCCUCAUACACACAUCCACUUUUUUAGUCCAUACUUCACCACAAUACAAAUACAGUCGCUAAAUUUGGUAAAAAUUCAUCCAGUUAUGCUUGCUGAUAUUAUAUUGCUACUGUCCGUCUAUCGCCGCCUCUCAAAGAGUUUAUCCACGGGUCAAAAACAGAAAAGAAAAUAACUAUCCAAGCUCGGUCUGCUUUUUAUAGUGCAUGCCAGCGCUUCCGACUUUCUGGGUAUCUUUGCUCAAACGACAUUCCUAGGUCAUUCAUCCGACUUUCUGGGUAUCUUUGCUCAAACGACAUUCCUAGGUCAUUCAUCCGACUCUCUGGGUAUCUUUGCUCAAACGACAUUCCUAGGUCAUUCAUCCCACUCUCUCAUCUCUUACUGCACAGAUUAGAGCGUGUCCUUGCACAGACUAGAGCGUGUCCUUGCACAGGCUAGAGCGUGUCCUUGCACAGAGCGCGUCUUGAGAGUGUCAGGUCCCUAACAUCAUGACACAUUCUUUGGAGAAAAUUUGAGAAAAUGGGAUUCCAAGAUUGUCCCACUUACAGCUGAAGUGUUUUUACACCUCAUUUGUGAAGUGUUGAAUGGAGAAAAAAUUCCUAAUGUGUCGUGUGUCAGUCAUGUGUCGUGUGUCAUUCAUUUCUCGCAAAAAGUAGAAUAAGAA